rfam:Dipodomys ordii contig_82236, whole genome shotgun sequence.
GGGAAUGUGGCUUAGUGGUAGAGUGCUUGCCUCAUAUGCAUGAAGCCCUGGGUUCCAUUGCUCAGUACCCCCA